UGCGGGAGUCGCCCAGCCUGGUCAAAGGCGUAGGGCUUAGGACCCUAUCUCUUAGGAGUUCGUGGGUUCAAAUCCCACCUCCCGCACCAU
rnacentral:tRNA from 1 species